UGCAGUCGCACGAGAAGGGGAGCAAUCCCUGAGUAAAGUGGCGCACGGGUGAGUAACACGUGAAUUAUCUACCUCCGAGUGGGGAAUAACUGAGAGAAAUCUUAGCUAAUACCGCAUAACACUUACGAGUCAAAGCAGCAAUGCGCUUGGAGAGGAGUUCGCGGCCGAUUAGCUAGUUGGCGGGGUAAUGGCCCACCAAGGCGAUGAUCGGUAUCCGGCCUGAGAGGGCGCACGGACACACUGGAACUGAAACACGGUCCAGACUCCUACGGGAGGCAGCAGUGGGGAAUUUUGCGCAAUGGGGGAAACCCUGACGCAGCAACGCCGCGUGGAGGAUGAAGUAUCUUGGUACGUAAACUCCUUUCGAUGGGGAAGAUAAUGACGGUACCCAUAGAAGAAGCCCCGGCUAACUUCGUGCCAGCAGCCGCGGUAAUACGAGGGGGGCAAGCGUUGUUCGGAAUUAUUGGGCGUAAAGGGUGCGUAGGCGGUUUGACAAGUCUUAUGUGAAAUCUAUGGGCUCAACCCAUAGUCUGCAUGGGAAACUGUCGGGCUUGAGUAUGGGAGAGGUGAGUGGAAUUUCCGGUGUAGCGGUGAAAUGCGUAGAUAUCGGAAGGAACACCUGUGGCGAAAGCGGCUCACUGGACCAUAACUGACGCUGAGCACGAAAGCUAGGGGAGCAAACAGGAUUAGAUACCCUGGUAGUCCUAGCCCUUAACGAUGAUUGUUUGAUGGUGGCAGGUACCCAAUCCUGCCGUGUCGAAGCUAACGCGAUAAACAAUCCGCCUGGGGAGUACGGUCGCAAGGCUGAAACUCAAGAUUGACGGGGCCGCACAGCGGUGAAGCAUGUGUUUAUCGACGCACGCG
rnacentral:rRNA from 1 species